rnacentral:misc_RNA from 1 species
GUAUUAAGAAUUAUGUUAUUCAAAAUAGCUUAAGACAAAAGAUUAAAAUAAAAAAGGUUGGUAUUAUGCCAACGCGACGAAUGAACGACACGCCAGCAAACAUUGCACACAAGGUGAGUACUUGUUUAAAAAGUGCAGUAGAACACUUAUUAUGAAUGAUCCUUCCGCAGGUUCACCUACGGAAA